CCCCUGAGGUCGGUGAUGCCGUACAUGAAGGCGAUUUUCUCAUACUGAUCUGGCCUGGCGUUCUUCAGGAUCUCCCACACGUCCACCUCUGGGGUGUCAUCUUGCUGUUUGUGCUCCCUAGUUUUGCCAUGUACAAGACUUCCACAUUUGCGUUUCAGUAAAUGGUGGAUAUGGGGAAGUGGGCCUGAUGCUGGCUGUCCAGUUGGUAAUUCUUGCAACAUAAGAAGAAACCGAAACACGAAGGAGCAGCUUUGAGAAGGGCUACACUGACACCCUCUGGUUUAUAAGUAAAAUGUGAAAAGAGGGAGAGUACAGUAUAGAUCUACGGAUCUCCUCCGUGACCCUUCUGCAGCGAUAUUAGCGUGUCCCGGCUGAACUGGUAGAGCACCGCCACCUGGUCCUUGUUCCUGGAGGAGAAGCUGAACACGCCGGCCGGCGCCGGCGCCCAGGACAGGCAGUGGGCCAUGCUCGGGUCCUGCAGCAUCUCAAACAGGAAGUGGAAGAGCCGCAGCCUUCUACCUGCAGGUGUUGAGCAAACUGUGAGCGGCACACGUGAUGAAAGGGAAUUUAAAAGGGAGAGGUAAAAUAGAAAAUUCACAGCAGUUAAUGCUGGUUACAGUUAAUCAUUCCCUCAACUACAUCCAUUCCCAGAAAAUCUCUUAAGAGAUCAUAGAUCUGUAUGUCAGAGGCCAGGACUUGUAAACACUGCGGUUAUCUGAUAGAUAUGUUAAAUAAGCUAGUGCGCUAAGCCAAGCACAGCUCCAUUGUGUUUUACAGUAAAGGGCAGGUCUCUUAUUUGCUCUCUUGGUAUUAUUUCCCCCAGGCUAAUUCCAACUGUGACAAUAACAAUGUCUAAUGACCAGAAAAAAGGAGAACUCACCCCUCCCUGCUGCAGCGGCUGGGUGUUUGGGUGAUUGUCUCGCUGAAACAAAGUUUGGCACUGACCCACACUCAGACAAUGUCGCUGUUGUGUUUUGGCCAAAGACGGCUCGGGCAUCAUGGUUUAGGAAGGUCUGAAAUACAGGUUUGAUGUCCUUUGAUGGAGUCAGAAAAUUAAAAUGUCAACAAAAAACUAAUUUAAUUCACUAAUUUAGUUCAAAAAGUGCAGCUUGCAUAGAUUUUGAACAUCUGAACAACAUUUCAGGCCUUUUUUUUUCCUGAGAUAAAAUCAGACAUUCAACCUGCACCAACCUACACUUUUUCCUUCCACUAA